CCUACGGGAGGCUGCAGUGGGGAAUAUUGCACAAUGGGCGCAAGCCUGAUGCAGCCAUGCCGCGUGUGUGAAGAAGGCCUUCGGGUUGUAAAGCACUUUCAGCGGGGAGGAAGGCGGUGAGGUUAAUAACCUCAUCGAUUGACGUUACCCGCAGAAGAAGCACCGGCUAACUCCGUGCCAGCAGCCGCGGUAAUACGGAGGGUGCAAGCGUUAAUCGGAAUUACUGGGCGUAAAGCGCACGCAGGCGGUCUGUCAAGUCGGAUGUGAAAUCCCCGGGCUCAACCUGGGAACUGCAUUCGAAACUGGCAGGCUAGAGUCUUGUAGAGGGGGGUAGAAUUCCAGGUGUAGCGGUGAAAUGCGUAGAGAUCUGGAGGAAUACCGGUGGCGAAGGCGGCCCCCUGGACAAAGACUGACGCUCAGGUGCGAAAGCGUGGGGAGCGAACAGGGUUAGAUACCCGGGUAGUC
rnacentral:rRNA from 1 species